rnacentral:rRNA from 1 species
CUAAGCUCCUGAUGUUAGCGGCGGACGGGUGAGUAACACGUGGGUAACCUGCCUGUAAGACUGGGAUAACUCCGGGAAACCGGGGCUAAUACCGGAUGCUUGAUUGAACCGCAUGGUUCAAUUAUAAAAGGUGGCUUUUAGCUACCACUUACAGAUGGACCCGCGGNGCAUUAGNUAGUUGGNGAGGUAACGGUUCACCAAGGCAACGAUGCGUAGCCGACCUGAGAGGGUGAUCGGCCACACUGGGACUGAGACACGGCCCANACUCCUACGGGAGGCAGCAGUAGGGAAUCUUCCGCAAUGGACGAAAGUCUGACGGAGCAACGCCGCGUGAGUGAUGAAGGUUUUCGGAUCGUAAAANUCUGUUGUUAGGGAAGAACAAGUACCGUUCGAAUAGGGNGGUACCUUGACGGUACCUAACCANAAAGCCACGGUUAACUACGUGCCAGCAGCCGCGGUAAUACGUAGGUGGCAAGNGUUGUCCGGAAUUAUUGGGCGUAAAGCGCGCGCAGGCGGUUUCUUAAGUNUGAUGUGAAAGCCCCCGGCUCAACCGGGGAGGGUCNUUGGAAACUGGGGAACUUGAGUGCAGAAGAGGAGAGUGGAAUUCCACGUGUAGCGGUGAAAUGCGUAGAGAUGUGGAGGAACACCAGUGGCGAAGGCGACUCUCUGGUCUGUAACUGACGCUGAGGCGCGAAAGCGUGGGGAGCGAACAGGAUUAGAUACCCUGGUAGUCCACGCCGUAAACGAUGAGUGCUAAGUGUUAGAGGGUUUCCGCCCUUUAGUGCUGCAGCAAACGCAUUAAGCACUCCGCCUGGGGAGUACGGUCGCAAGACUGAAACUCAAAGGAAUUGACGGGGGCCCGCACAAGCGGUGGAGCAUGUGGUUUAAUUCGAAGCAACGCGAAGAACCUUACCAGGUCUUGACAUCCUCUGACAACCCUAGAGAUAGGGCUUCCCUUCGGGG